rnacentral:rRNA from 1 species
GACGAACGCUGGCGGCGUGCCUAAUACAUGCAAGUCGAGCGCUGAAGGAGGAGCUUGCUUCUCCGGAUGAGUUGCGAACGGGUGAGUAACGCGUAGGUAACCUGCCUGGUAGCGGGGGAUAACUAUUGGAAACGAUAGCUAAUACCGCAUAACAGUAGAUAUUGCAUGAUAUCUGCUUGAAAGGUGCAAAUGCAUCACUACCAGAUGGACCUGCGUUGUAUUAGCUAGUUGGUGAGGUAACGGCUCACCAAGGCGACGAUACAUAGCCGACCUGAGAGGGUGAUCGGCCACACUGGGACUGAGACACGGCCCAGACUCCUACGGGAGGCAGCAGUAGGGAAUCUUCGGCAAUGGACGGAAGUCUGACCGAGCAACGCCGCGUGAGUGAAGAAGGUUUUCGGAUCGUAAAGCUCUGUUGUAAGAGAAGAACGAGUGUGAGAGUGGAAAGUUCACACUGUGACGGUAUCUUACCAGAAAGGGACGGCUAACUACGUGCCAGCAGCCGCGGUAAUACGUAGGUCCCGAGCGUUGUCCGGAUUUAUUGGGCGUAAAGCGAGCGCAGGCGGUUAGAUAAGUCUGAAGUUAAAGGCUGUGGCUUAACCAUAGUACGCUUUGGAAACUGUUUAACUUGAGUGCAAGAGGGGAGAGUGGAAUUCCAUGUGUAGCGGUGAAAUGCGUAGAUAUAUGGAGGAACACCGGUGGCGAAAGCGGCUCUCUGGCUUGUAACUGACGCUGAGGCGCGAAAGCGUGGGGAGCAAACAGG